rnacentral:rRNA from 1 species
AUUGAACGCUGGCGGCAGGCCUAACACAUGCAAGUCGAACGGUAGCACAGAGAGCUUGCUCUCGGGUGACGAGUGGCGGACGGGUGAGUAAUGUCUGGGAAACUGCCUGAUGGAGGGGGAUAACUACUGGAAACGGUAGCUAAUACCGCAUAACGUCGCAAGACCAAAGAGGGGGACCUUCGGGCCUCUUGCCAUCAGAUGCGCCCAGAUGGGAUUAGCUAGUAGGUGGGGUAACGGCUCACCUAGGCGACGAUCCCUAGCUGGUCUGAGAGGAUGACCAGCCACACUGGAACUGAGACACGGUCCAGACUCCUACGGGAGGCAGCAGUGGGGAAUAUUGCACAAUGGGCGCAAGCCUGAUGCAGCCAUGCCGCGUGUAUGAAGAAGGCCUUCGGGUUGUAAAGUACUUUCAGCGGGGAGGAAGGUGUUGUGGUUAAUAACCGCAGCAAUUGACGUUACCCGCAGAAGAAGCACCGGCUAACUCCGUGCCAGCCGCCGCCGUAA